UACGUAGGUGGCGAGCGUUGUCCGGAUUUACUGGGCGUAAAGAGCGCGCAGGCGGUCGUGCAAGUCGCGUGUGAAAGCCCCCGGCUCAACUGGGGAACUGCACGGGAAACUGGAAGGCUUGAGUUCGGGAGAGGGAAGCGGAAUUCCGGGUGUAGCGGUGAAAUGCGUAGAUAUCCGGAGGAACACCGGUGGCGAAGGCGGCUUCCUGGACCGACACUGACGCUGAGGCGCGAAAGCUAGGGGAGCAAACGGG
rnacentral:rRNA from 1 species